rnacentral:lncRNA from 1 species
GUGCCACUCAACAUCGUCAGAAGUAUCAAAGAAAUUUCCUAACACUUGAAGCAUUUUCUUUGACUGAGCCUCUUCAAACUUCCAACUGAACUCAUCAUUCAUGGAGGCCCACAUGAUGCAACGAACCAUAGUGUGAUCAUUAAGCUACUUCAAAUAAGUAUCUCAGACUGCUCCUCGGGCAUUAGGAGCAGGCUCCUCAAGUAUCGGAUUCGUUAUCACAUAAAAGAUCUGCU